rnacentral:rRNA from 1 species
GAGGAAUAUUGGUCAAUGGACGAGAGUCUGAACCAGCCAAGUAGCGUGAAGGAUGACUGCCCUAUGGGUUGUAAACUCCUUUUAUACGGGAAUAAAGUGAGGCACGUGUGCCUUUUUGUAUGUACCGUAUGAAUAAGGAUCGGCUAACUCCGUGCCAGCAGCCGCGGUAAUACGGAGGAUCCGAGCGUUAUCCGGAUUUAUUGGGUUUAAAGGGAGCGUAGGCGGACGCUUAAGUCAGUUGUGAAAGUUUGCGGCUCAACCGUAAAAUUGCAGUUGAUACUGGGUGUCUUGAGUACAGUAGAGGCAGGCGGAAUUCGUGGUGUAGCGGUGAAAUGCUUAGAUAUCACGAAGAACUCCGAUUGCGAAGGCAGCUUGCUGGACUGUAAUUGACGCUGAUGCUCGAAAGUGUGGGUAUCAAAC